AUUAAGUAUGUGCUUCUGCUGCAAAAAUGGACAGUCAAUAACGUGCAGGUGUUGAGAUGGGCAUUUUUGAGUUUAGGAUGCCCUUGUAUGGCCUGCAUACAGUC
rfam:Beta vulgaris subsp. vulgaris Bvchr2.sca018.con0113.1, whole genome shotgun sequence.